UACGGGGGGGGCAAGCGUUGUUCGGAAUUACUGGGCGUAAAGGGCCAGUAGGCGGCCAACUAAGUCGGAUGUGAAAUCCCCAGGCUCAACCUGGGAACUGCAUCCGAUACUGGAUGGCUUGAAUUCGGGAGAGGGAUGCAGAAUUCCAGGUGUAGCGGUGAAAUGCGUAGAUAUCUGGAGGAAUACCGGUGGCGAAGGCGACUACCUGGCUGUUCUUGACGCUGAGGCGCGAAAGCUGGGGGGAGCGAACAGG
rnacentral:rRNA from 1 species